CACGUAGGGGGCGAGCGUUGUCCGGAUUUAUUGGGCGUAAAGAGCUCGUAGGUGGUUCGGUAAGUCGGGUGUGAAAACUCUGGGCUCAACUCAGAGACGCCCACCUGAUACUGCCGUGACUUGAGUCUGGUAGGGGAGUGUGGAAUUCCGGUGUAGCGGUGAAAUGCGCAGAUAUCGGAAGGAACACCAGUGGCGAAGGCGGCACUCUGGGCCAGUACUGACACUGAGGAGCGAAAGCGUGG
rnacentral:rRNA from 1 species